rnacentral:rRNA from 1 species
GCCCCCUGGACAAAGACUGACGCUCAGGUGCGAAAGCGUGGGGAGCAAACAGGAUUAGAUACCCUGGUAGUCCACGCUGUAAACGAUGUCGAUUUAGAGGCUGUGCCCUUAAGGAGUGGCUUCCGUAGCUAACGCGUUAAAUCGACCAGCUGGGGAGUACGGCCGCAAGGUUAAAACUCAAAUGAAUUGACGGGGGCCCGCACAAGCGGUGGAGCAUGUGGUCUAAUUCGAUGCAACGCGAAGAACCUUACCUACUCUUGAUAUCCAGAGAACUUUCCAGAGAUGGAGCGGUGCCCUCGGGAGCUCUGAGACAGGCGCUGCAUGGCUGUCGUCAGCUCGUGUUGUGAAAUGUUGGGUUAAGUCCCGCAACGAGCGCAACCCUUAUCCUUUGUUGCCAGCGAUAAAGUCGGGAACUCAAAGGAGACUGCCGGUGAUAAACCGGAGGAAGGCGGGGAUGACGUCAAGUCAUCAUGGCCCUUACGAGUAGGGCUACACACGUGCUACAAUGGCGUAUACAAAGAGAAGCGAACUCGCGAGAGCAAGCAGACCUCACAAAGUACGUCGUAGUCCGGAUUGGAGUCUGCAACUCGGCUCCAUGAAGUUGGAAUCGCUAGUAAUCGUAGAUCAGAAUGCUGCGGUGAAUACGCUCCCCGGCGUUGUACACACCGCCCGUCACACCAUGGGAGUGGGUUGCAAAAGAAGUAGGUAGCUUAACCUUCGGGACGGCGCCUACCACUUUGUGAUUCAUGACUGGGGUGAAGUCGUAACAAGGUAACCGUAGGGGAACCUGCGGUUAGAUCACCUCCUUACC